GCCUGAUGCAGCAACGCCGCGUGAGGGACGAAGGCCUUCGGGUUGUAAACCUCUUUUAGUAGGGAAGAAGCGAAAGUGACGGUACCUGCAGAAAAAGCACCGGCUAACUACGUGCCAGCAGCCGCGGUAAUACGUAGGGUGCAAGCGUUGUCCGGAAUUAUUGGGCGUAAAGAGCUCGUAGGCGGUUUGUCGCGUCUGCUGUGAAAACUGGAGGCUCAACCUCCAGCCUGCAGUGGGUACGGGCAGACUAGAGUGCGGUAGGGGAGAUUGGAAUUCCUGGUGUAGCGGUGGAAUGCGCAGAUAUCAGGAGGAACACCGAUGGCGAAGGCAGAUCUCUGGGCCGUAACUGACGCUGAGGAGCGAAAGCAUGGGGAGCGAACAGGAUUAGAUACCCUGGUAGUCCAUGCCGUAAACGUUGGGAACUAGAUGUAGGGGCCAUUCCACGGUUUCUGUGUCGCAGCUAACGCAUUAAGUUCCCCGCCUGGGGAGUACGGCCGCAAGGCUAAAACUCAAAGGAAUUGACGGGGGCCCGCACAAGCGGCGGAGCAUGCGGAUUAAUUCGAUGCAACGCGAAGAACCUUACCAAGGCUUGACAUAUACCGGAAACGGCUAGAGAUAGUCGCCCCGCAAGGUCGG
rnacentral:rRNA from 1 species